ACUCAAAUGAAUUGACGGGGGCCCGCACAAGCAGUGGAGCAUGUGGUUUAAUUCGAUGCAACGCGAAGAACCUUACCUGGGCUCGAAAUGCAGAGGGCGAUAUCAGAAAUGAUAUUUUCCGUAAGGACUUCUGUAUAGGUGCUGCAUGGCUGUCGUCAGCUCGUGCCGUGAGGUGUUGGGUUAAGUCCCGCAACGAGCGCAACCCUUAUCAUUAGUUGCCAACACGUAAGGUGGGGACUCUAAUGAGACUGCCUAGGUUAACUAGGAGGAAGGUGAGGAUGACGUCAAGUCCGCAUGGCCUUUAUGUCCAGGGCUACACACGUGCUACAAUGGUCGGUACAGAGGGCUGCAAGACCGUAAGGUGGAGCAAAUCCCAGAAAGCCGAUCUCAGUUCAGAUUGUGGUCUGCAACUCGACCACAUGAAGUUGGAAUUGCUAGUAAUGGCGAGUCAGCAACAUCGCCGUGAAUACGUUCCCGGGCCUUGUACACACCGCCCGU
rnacentral:rRNA from 1 species